GUAGGUGAACCUGCGGAAGGAUCAUUAAUGAGAACAUGCCCUUUUGGGGUAGAUCUCCCACCCUUUGUUUAUUAUACCUUCAUUGCUUUGGUGGGCCCGUCUCACGACCGCUGGCUUUAGCUAGUCAGUGCCCACCAGAGGACCUUUAAAAAUUCUUAAUUAUAUGUCGUCUGAGUACUAUAAAAUAGUUAAAACUUUCAACAACGGAUCUCUUGGUUCUGGCAUCGAUGAAGAACGCAGCAUCUGACUG
rnacentral:misc_RNA from 1 species